GACGAACGCUGGCGGCGUGCUUAACACAUGCAAGUCGUACGACAGCAUCUCUUCGGGGGUGUAUGGAGUGGCGAACGGGUGAGUAACACGUAAGUAACCUGCCCUUUUCUUUGGGAUAACUCGCGGAAACGUGGGCUAAUACCGAAUAUUCACAUAUGUCUGCAUGGGUGUGUGUGGAAAGGUCUUUUAGCCGGUAAGGGAUGGGCUUGCGGCCUAUCAGUUUGUUGGUGGGGUGAUGGCCUACCAAGACGUGGACGGGUAACCGGCCUGAGAGGGUGUUCGGUCACACUGGGACUGAGAUACGGCCCAGA
rnacentral:rRNA from 1 species